AAUUAAUGAGCUUGUGAUUAAGCAUUUGUUUUGAAACCUUAAGAAAGAAUUUAAUUAAUUCUAUUAAUUU
rnacentral:tRNA from 1 species